GAUGAACGCUGGCGGCGUGCCUAAUACAUGCAAGUAGAACGCUGAAGGAAGGAGCUUGCUCUUUCCGGAUGAGUUGCGAACGGGUGAGUAACGCGUAGGUAACCUGCCUGGUAGCGGGGGAUAACUAUUGGAAACGAUAGCUAAUACCGCAUAACAUUAGAUGUUGCAUGAUAUCUACUUAAAAGGUGCAAUUGCACCACUACCAGAUGGACCUGCGUUGUAUUAGCUUGUUGGUGAGGUAACGGCUCACCAAGGCGACGAUACAUAGCCGACCUGAGAGGGUGAUCGGCCAAAAUGGGACUGAGACACGGCCCAGACUCCUACGGGAGGCAGCAGGAAGGAAACUUCGGCAAUGGACGGAAGGCUGAACGAGCAACGCCGCGUGAGUGAAGAAGGUUUUCGGAUCGUAAAGAUUUGUUGUAAGAGAAGAACGAGUGGGAGAGGGGAAAGUGCACACUGUGACGGUAUCUUACCAGAAAGGGACGGCUAACUACGUG
rnacentral:rRNA from 1 species